AGCAAGAGCAGCUGGUCAUCCUGGAGCCAAAUGUCAAUUUUUCAUAUUGAUGCCACAACCUGGAUAAAUAUUUAUCUCUGCCUUCUGACAACAAUGAACUGCUGUAGCUGUUAAGAUCACCCAUGGAAGAGAACAAAAAUCAUAGCAAGUAGCAAAUCAAGGGCCCUGGGAAUGUGUCCUUUUGAUGGCUCCUUAACAGUUUUUAUCCUUUAUGUUGUUUGUCCUUGGGGAAUGAUGGCAAGAACAUCUUGGCCCCAGUGAAGUACAGGGCUCUGAAGCUGAUAAGGUUGAUUUGGGGGAAUGGAUAAGGCACAUACCAAGCUUUCAAUAACUAACAAGCUACAAGUUAAUGUAGGAGAGCAAAGAGAGAACUCACACUAUCUUUUAUAUUUUGCUAGGCAAGAACUCUACCACUGAGCCCAGCCCCAGCCCUACACUCUCUUUUAAUGGCUGUUGAGCCAUGAGUUAAGGUCCAGGAGUGCAUUUGCCCCUACGGUGGUCUCUGUCUUACUGGUCUUUGAGUGUAGUUUCAGUUCCUUGUCAUGAAGAUGCUUACCAAUUGGACCUGUGGUUUAUAGAAUCCAGUGCAAUUGCAGAAGAAAGUAGCUCAGGAGAAAAAACACUGAAGAGGCAAAUGGAAUCAGAGAGGGACAAAAUGGAGUUGGUUAGGUCAGUGGCUGGGUCCUAUUCUGGAGGAGGACACGUUUUGGAUCAAAUAUCACAAACUCUCAUUUUUCUUGCUGUAUUUAGUGAAUUUUCUUGAAUAAAUAUUUCUUCAUUUGCUGCAUGUUUUUGGAUAAAGUUCAGUGACUAAUUUCUUCACAAAAUAAUUUUCACCAGUUUCCCUUGGGAGCAGAUCCCCAGAGCUAUUCAGAUGGUCACGUCAGAAGUAGAACACAGGGCAGAAGACUCUUAGAUGCAUUCCUUUGUGUGAAAGGGAGUUGGACACAAAAUAUUGUAUUCAAAAUGUUAAAUCUGGAUGGCAUACUCAAAAAGGCAAAACCAUGGAGAUUAAAAAAAAACAAUAAGUAGGUACCAGGAAUUGGGAGUAGGAAGAGGGGUUGACUAUGAAGGGGCAGCAGGAGGGAAUUCUGGGGUUGCUGGAACUUUUCUGCAUGGCACUUCAGUGUGAGGAGAGGACUCCAUAAUUUUGCUAUGGACUGAAAUGUGUCCCCCACAAUUCAUAUGUUGAAGCCCCAACUUCUAGUGUGAGUGUAUUUGGAGAUAGGAUCUAUAAGGUAAUUGACAUUAAAUGAGGUUAUGAGGAGGGGACCCUAAUCCUAUAGGACUAGUGUUCUUAUAAGAAAAGGAAGAAUCA
rnacentral:lncRNA from 1 species